AACACACAAUCACGGAGCAACCAACGUGCAAGACAAAUACACAGGUACUCGACCUAACACCUAACGAACACGGAUACGUGCGAUCGAAGCGAAACAAUGAACGAGGGAUAACAAUCAACGAUUCUUGCACAAAACACGCGUUAAAACAGAUUUCACGAAUGUGCAGAUUUCAACGAGUAUGUCAAUCAACAUGCAAAACAAAGGCAGCAAGCAACGUGGUAUGAUCCAACAAAUGUCCUAAUGUGCAAGUUGAGCUACAGAUUGAGGUUAUCACAAACAGAUUUGUACCCGAAAACAUAGCAGCGUAUGAAUAGCAAGUAAGGUGCAAUCUCGUGCUAACGAUGAGCGAGAUUUACACAGAUUUCUCAACAAUGAUGCAGAUAACACUCAACAAAUCACGAAUAGAGCUUGAUCAAAACUCGUCCAAUCAUUUCUCGAACAGGUUUUCAAAGAACUUCAAUCAGAUUUUCAAAACAGAUUUUGCAGCAAUCAAUGAGGCUCGUCUAACGUGCAAUCCUAGAUCAAAAUUCGAAGAAAUGCAGAGCAUUCAACAAGGAAGACGAACGGUCACUCGAAUCCACAAGAACAGAUCAAUUUGCAGGAGAUUCAAUCAGCACGCGGGAUACACACAACACGCUCAGUUGAACCGAAAACAGAGCACUAUCAAUCAGAUGGUGAUAAAAUAUAGCAGCGAUGAAUACAACACCAACAACGCACAACAGCAACACUCAACAGCAGCAACUUAGUUUAUUAUUAUUUUCGAAUUAUAUAUAUUUUUUUAUUAUAAAAAAACAGGAUUUGACCAAAAUUAAUGUGCAAAUUGAACAGAUUUAGUCAAUGCGUUUGUUGCCUAACACGAUCAGCUAUGUCCUCAAACCAGUUUAGAUUUCGGAAUGGAAACAGAGGUGUAUAUAAUUACGGGACACGUAGCAUAUUACUAAGCACAACAAAACAAAUUAAGGGGACUACUCGAACCGAAUUACAAACAGAUUUAAAACGGAAGACGAUAAUCGGUUUCGAUGGAUGCUCAGCCCUAGAUGGAAGCAAGGACACUCACGGAAAAUGAUAUAACACAGCAGAGGCAACACACAACAAAGCAGAAUCAGAAAAACUGAAGUAGGAAGGAUCUCACCCGAGAGAACUCCGAGGAUGAGCGGCGUGCUAUUUCUCUCGUUUCUCGAUUGAUUUGUGCGCCUUGAUGGAGAUGCAAAGUCUACGAAAUGGAUGGUGGAAUUGAUCAGCUCUUUUCAAGGAACGAAACUGGGCAGAUUAUAUUUUGUUUUCAAAAUUUCAAAUUGAAACAAAAAGAACAAACGGAAAUAAACGAAAACGUAAACGAGGAUAGAUCUCACCCGGGGCACGUCCUCUUGGAUCGAGCAAGGCUCUGAUACCAAAAAUGAUACACGCACGGAAGAGGAUGGAUAGGGGAGUUCAACUGCAAUCACCGGGUCACGGAAGUGGCUCUCGAAUUCACGGAGGAACAAGGGAUAGCCGAAGUGGAUUGAUGGCGAAUCGAUUCCAAUCACCGGCUCACGAGUGUGGCGCUCGAAUUCAGAAAUGUUUCAAAAGGGAUGAGGUGGUAAUCGAAGGAUAUGGGCGCGUCGGACACACCGGACGCAAUCUUCUCGGACACACCGAAGGAGUCUCUCGGACACACCGAAGAGAAGAGGCCUCAGACACACCAAGACACAAAGAUAAUCUCAACACUUUGAGUGGAGAAAGAGAACAAAGGUUCUACAAUUUUUGAUUGAUGAAAAGCUGAUCACAAAAUGAAAAGAAAGGAGUUUAAAUAACAACAAUUGUCAACAAA